AAAGAAGACUCUAAAUCGUCUGCCAGCGACGAGUCUUUUUAUUCAAAUUCUUAACGUUGAAUCUAAUCCACGAUCUCUUUCUUAUUCGUAGACUACUGAAAACUUCGUACUUACCGUUCGACGCAAACGUUGAUUCUGAAUCACAUCUAACAAUUCUCUUAUUGAAAAUAUAAUAAAAAUGAGAUUCACCGUUCCUUGCGCAGUGAUCUUACUGCUCUUGUUCGCCUGUGCUAUAGCUGCAAAAGCUGAUGAGGAAACGUUUCCUUUAAGUGAAUCGUUAGAAGAAUUGGAUGCUGCCGAAAGUAGGAUGUCCUGAUCUAAAG